rnacentral:rRNA from 1 species
AUUGAACGCUGGCGGCGUGCCUAACACAUGCAAGUCGAGCGGUAACAGGUGUAGCAAUACAUGCUGACGAGCGGCGAACGGGUGAGUAAUGCUUCGGAAUCUACCUUAUGGUGGGGAAUAACUAGCCGAAAGGUUAGCUAAUACCGCAUACGUCCUACGGGAGAAAGCAGGGGAUCGCAAGACCUUGCGCCAAAAGAUGAGCCGAAGCCGGAUUGGCUAGUUGGUAGGGUAACGGCAUACCAAGGCGACGAUCCGCAGCUGGUCUGAGAGGACGACCAGCCACACUGGACUGAGACACGGCCCAGACUCCUACGGGAGGCAGCAGUGGGGAAUAUUGGACAAUGGGGGAAACCCUGAUCCAGCGACGCCGCGUGUGUGAAGAAGGCCUGCGGGUUGUAAAGCACUUUUAGUGGGGAUGAAAUGUGCAGGGUUAAUACCUCUGCAUUUUGACCUAACCCACAGAAAAAGCACCGGCUAACUCUGUGCCAGCAGCCGCCGUAA